GACGAACGCUGGCGGCGUGCUUAACACAUGCAAGUCGAACGGAAAGGCCCUGCUUUUGUGGGGUGCUCGAGUGGCGAACGGGUGAGUAACACGUGAGUAACCUGCCCUUGACUUUGGGAUAACUUCAGGAAACUGGGGCUAAUACCGGAUAGGAGCUCCUGCUGCAUGGUGGGGGUUGGAAAGUUUCGGCGGUUGGGGAUGGACUCGCGGCUUAUCAGCUUGUUGGUGGGGUAGUGGCUUACCAAGGCUUUGACGGGUAGCCGGCCUGAGAGGGUGACCGGCCAAAUGGGGACUGAGAGACGGCACAGACUCCUACGGGAGGAAGCAGGGGGGAAUAUGGCACAAUGGGCGGAAGCCUGAUGCAGAAACGCCGCGUGCGGGAUGACGGCCUUCGGGUUGUAAACCGCUUUCGCCUGUGACGAAGCGUGAGUGACGGUAAUGGGUAAAGAAGAACCGGCUAACUACGUG
rnacentral:rRNA from 1 species